UUGGUCGAUACGCAAUUUAUGUGCAGAAGAGUAACAUGAGAAACAUUUAUUUUUAGGUCGGAUUAAAACCUGAACCCUUUAGGCCUACUGUGGAUUCCCCUAGAGUUAACUGCGUCGAUCGCCAUAAGGAAAAGGAUCCCAGUCGAGUCAUCUGGGAAAAGAAUAAACCUGCUGGACAAGAGGUGCGGGGAGUUUUACACGUUGAUGAAUCAAGUGUCAAACGUUCUCAAGUCCCAAGGAGUGCAAAAAAAGGUAAUCCAGUGGCAAUUUAUGUCCCACCAAUUUAGGUUCACUGACUGUCGCCUUAAUGCUCGCUUGUGCCCGUAUCGGAGUCAUUAUAGCUGAAACUAAGAUAUAGUUAUUACUGUUGGCCAAAGGGUGCGAAGUGGCAAGUUAAUUAAAUUGAAGAAAACGGUUGCGAUAGCAGUUGAAAUAUUUCCGACUGUUAAAACUAUUCUCGUAGCCAAAAGAAUUCUGUUGAUUCAUCGCCUCUUGACGUCGAUCUGGAUGAGGCGAUGGUCAAAGAGAGCGGCGAAUGUGAACCGGCCGUUUUGGACAGCGAAGAUUUGCUGUUCAUGCUCUACACAUCCGGCAGCACGGGAAACCCUAAGGGGAUUGUUCAUUCC